GCCGGGUGUAGUGGCGUGCACCUGUAAUCCGGGCUACUCGGGAGGCUGAGGCAGGAGAAUUGCUUGAACCCAAGAGGCAAGGGAUGCAGUGAGCCGAGAUCCCACCACUGCACUCCAGCCUGGGUGACAGAGCAAGACUCCAUCUCAA
rnacentral:SRP_RNA from 1 species